rnacentral:rRNA from 1 species
CAGCCUUGCCGCGUGUGUGAAGAAGGCCUUCGGGUUGUAAAGCACUUUCAGCGAGGAAGAACGCCUAGUGGUUAAUACCCAUUAGGAAAGACAUCACUCGCAGAAGAAGCACCGGCUAACUCCGUGCCAGCAGCCGCGGUAAUACGGAGGGUGCGAGCGUUAAUCGGAAUUACUGGGCGUAAAGCGCGCGUAGGUGGCUUGAUAAGCCGGUUGUGAAAGCCCCGGGCUCAACCUGGGAACGGCAUCCGGAACUGUCAAGCUAGAGUGCAGGAGAGGAAGGUAGAAUUCCCGGUGUAGCGGUGAAAUGCGUAGAGAUCGGGAGGAAUACCAGUGGCGAAGGCGGCCUUCUGGACUGACACUGACACUGAGGUGCGAAAGCGUGGGUAGCAAACAGGAUUAGAUACCCUGGUAGUCCACGCCGUAAACGAUGUCGACCAGCCGUUGGGUGCCUAGCGCACUUUGUGGCGAAGUUAACGCGAUAAGUCGACCGCC